AUGAACGCUGGCGGUGUGCCUAAUACAUGCAAGUCGAGCGGUAACACUUCGGGUGACGAGCGGCGGACGGCUGAGUAACGCGUAGGAACAUACCCCAAACUGAGGGAUAACUGCCCGAAAGGGUAGCUAAUACCGCAUGUGAUCUUCGGAUUAAAGCUUCGGCGGUUUGGGAAUGGCCUGCGUUCGAUUAGGUAGUUGGUGAGGUAAUAGCUCACCAAGCCGACGAUCGAUAGCUGGUCUGAGAGGAUGAUCAGCCAGACUGGGACUGAGACACGGCCCAGACUCCUACGGGAGGCAGCAGUAUGGAAUUUUCCACAAUGGGCGGAAGCCUGAUGGAGCAACACCGCGUGCAGGAUGAAGGCCUUAGGGUUGUAAACUGCUUUUAUAUGUGACGAUUGUGACGGUAGCAUAUGAAUAAGGACCUGCUAACUACGU
rnacentral:rRNA from 1 species